UAUUGCGUUAUUUACGCAUUGGCUACGUAAUCGCAAUAAUAAAUAGGCGACCAUAGCCACACCUAAAAAAUCCCCUCACUAUUGCCGUAGUGAGGGGAUUG
rnacentral:antisense_RNA from 1 species